rnacentral:rRNA from 1 species
GCAGCAGUGGGGAUAUUGCACAAUGGGCGCAAGCCUGAUGCAGCCAUGCCGCGUGUGUGAAGAAGGCUUUCGGGUUGUAAAGCACUUUCAGCGAGGAGGAAAGGUUGUACUUUAAUAGAGUGCAGCUGUGACGUUACUCGCAGAAGAAGCACCGGCUAACUCCGUGCCAGCAGCCGCGGUAAUACGGAGGGUGCGAGCGUUAAUCGGAAUUACUGGGCGUAAAGCGCGCGUAGGCGGUUAAUUAAGUCAGAUGUGAAAUCCCAGGGCUCAACCUUGGAACUGCAUUUGAAACUGGUUAACUAGAGUUUUGUAGAGGGUGGUAGAAUUUCAGGUGUAGCGGUGAAAUGCGUAGAGAUCUGAAGGAAUACCAGUGGCGAAGGCGGCCACCUGGACAAAGACUGACGCUGAGGCGCGAAGGCGUGGGGAGCAAACGGGAUUAGAUACCCCGGUAGUCCACGCAGUAAACGAUGUCUAUUAGAAUUUUGUGGCUAUAUGCCGUGGGAUUCAAAGCUAACGCAUUAAAUAGACCGCCUGGGGAGUACGGCCGCAAGGUUAAAACUCAAAUGAAUUGACGGGGCCCCG